UACGUAGGGAGCGAGCGUUGUCCGGAAUUACUGGGCGUAAAGGGUGCGUAGGCGGCUAUUUAAGUCAGAUGUGAAAUACCAGGGCUUAACUCUGGGGGUGCAUCUGAUACUGGGUGGCUUGAGUACAGGAGAGGAAAGCGGAAUUCCUAGUGUAGCGGUGAAAUGCGUAGAUAUUAGGAGGAACACCAGUGGCGAAGGCGGCUUUCUGGACUGUAACUGACGCUGAGGCACGAAAGCGUGGGGAG
rnacentral:rRNA from 1 species